GGGUGCAGAAGACGGGCGCCGUGCGGGGGGAGCACGGGGGGGACUGCCCCCAGGGCUACAAGCGCCUCAACAGCAGCCACUGCCAGGGUAGGCGGGCGUGCAAGGGGCGUGCAAAUGGGUGUGCAAACGGGCGUGCAACGGGCGUGCAGGGGGCAUGCAUUGGGCGUGCAUUGGGCAUGCAACGGGCAUGCAACAGGCAUGCAAUGGGUGUGCAACGGGCGCGCAAUGAGCGUGCAACGGGUGUGCAAUGAGCGUGCAAUGGGUGUGCAAGGGGCGUGCAGGGAGCAUGCAGGCGGGGGGGCGUGUGUGCAGCGGGGGGGGUGUGCAUGGGGCCGUGCAUGCGCACACGUGGCGCAAGCAAGCGGGGGAGCGCGUGUGUGCAAACACCGGGGGGGCACACGGGCGUGCACGGGGUGGGUGUGCACGGGACCGCGCGUGCAAGCACCACGGGGGUGUGCACAGCACCAGGUGUGUGCACGGUGCAGGUGUGCACAGCACCACACAUGCAAGCACCACAGGGACAUGCACAGCACCACGUGUGUGCAAGGAGCGGAUGUGCUCAGCACCCCCUGCACAGCGCAGUUGUGCACAGCACCACGUGUGUGCAAGCAGCGGAUGUGCUCAGCACCACGUGCAUGCAUGCACAGUGCAGAUUUUGCACAGCACCAAUGCGCGCGUGCCCGAUGCAGAUCUGCGUGCACGGUGCAGCCUUGCACAGGACCACGUGUGUGCAUGCACGGCGCAGAUUUGCACCGCACCGAUGCGUGCACGCACCUUGCAGAGUUGCACAGCACCACACACGCACGCAAGAGGCCGAUUUGCACGGCGCCGGUGCGUGCACGCGCCUUUGCAGCUCCGCAGCCCCGGUGCGUGCACGAGGCGGAUCUGCACAGCGCCGACGCGUGCACCCUGCAGAGCUGCAGCCCCGAUGCACGCACAGCGCAGGUCUGCACAGCACCAGCGCAUGCACGAUGCAGACGUGCACGGCACCAGUGCACGCACCUUGCAGCCCCGAUGCACGCACAGUGCAGACGUGCACAGCACCAGCGCACGCACCUUGCGUAUUUGCAGCACCAGAGCACGCACAGUGCAGAUCUGCACGGCACCAGUGCACGCACCUUGCAGCCCCGAUGCGUGCACGAUGCAGACGUGCACAGCACCAGUGCACGCACCUUGCAGCCCCGAUGCACGCACGAUGCAGACAUGCACGGCACCAAAGCACGCACCUUGCAGCCCCGAUGCACGCACAGCGCAGGUCUGCACAGCACCAGUGCACACACGUUGCAUGUUUGCAGCACCAAAGCACGCACAGUGCAGGUGUGCACGGCACCAAAGCAUGCACCUUUGCAGCUCUGCAGCCCUGAUGCACGCACAGUGCAGACGUGCACGGCACCACUGCACGCACCUUGCAGCCCCGAUGCACACACGAUGCACACGUGCACGGCACCAAAGCAUGCACCUUGCAGCCCUGAUGCACGCACAGCGCAGGUCUGCACAGCACCAGCGAACACACCUUGCGUAUUUGCAGCACCAGAGCACACACAGUGCAGGUCUGCACAGCACCAAUGCACACGAUGCAGACGUGCACAGCACCAGUGCACACACCGUGCAGCCGCGAUGCACACACGAUGCAGACGUGCACGGCACCAGUGCACGCACCCUGCGUAUUUGCAGCACCAGAGCAUGCACAGUGCAGAUCUGCAGCCCUGAUGCGUGCACGAUGCAGACGUGCACGGCACCAGUGCACGCACCUUGCAGCUCUGCAGCCCUGAUGCGUGCACGAUGCAGACGUGCACGGCACCAAUGCACGCACCUUGCAGCCCCGAUGCAUGCACCCUGCAGCCCCGCAGCACCGCCUGCAUGCACCGUGCAGAUCCGCGCCGCCCCACCUGCAUGCACGGUGCAGA
rnacentral:lncRNA from 1 species